CGCUUGUCACUUUGACGCACCUUUGUUUACAUACGUGUCGAAAUUCAAAACAGCACUUCCUAAACCCCCUAAAAAUGUCCCGGGAAAAAAACAACGUGUGUAUAGUGGUCCUGGGGGACAUAGGGCGCAGCCCCAGGAUGCAAUACCACGCCCUCUCCUUAGGAGAGAAGGGCCAUAAGGUGGAUAUCGUGGGGUACGGAGAGACCGAGCCCAUGGGGCCAAUUAAAGCCUCCCCCUCGGUUUUUUAUCACUACAUGUGUCCCGUGCCCCAAGUUCCCUUGAAACUGUUGAAUUACGCCUUUAAAACCGUGUUCCAGGCGUUGAAUUUGUUGUUUUUGUUGUGCACCAUUCGGAGGCCUCAGGUUCUGUUGGUGCAGAACCCUCCGGCCAUACCGAGUCUCGGGGUGUGUUGGUUGUUUUGCCGGAUCGUUAGGGCGAAGUUGAUAAUUGACUGGCACAACUAUGCCCACACUAUUAUGGCCCUAAACCUCUCGAAAGGCCAUAAGUUGGUCAAAAUAACUGAGAAAGUUGAGGCUUUUUUCGGUAUUAGGGCAGAUGCGUGCUUCUGCGUCACUAAGGCUAUGAAAAAAGACCUUUGGGACAGGUGGAAUGUGCAGGCUACGGUUUUAUAUGACAAACCCCCCGAAAUCUUUCGAAAGAUCUCUCUUAAAGAAAAACAUGAUUUUUUAAUGAAACUUGGGGAAAAAUACCCGGAAAUCUUAAGCAAUGAUGGCUCAACAAGGUUUACUGUAUCUAAACAGGGGGAGGUUGCUUUAAAACCCGAUAGGCCAGGCCUUUUGGUGUCGAGCACAAGCUGGACAGAAGAUGAAGACUUCUCAAUCCUAUUCUCAGCCUUACAAAACUAUGAGGACCAUUACACCUCCCAUAAACUCCCCGACUUAAUCUGUUUUAUCACCGGCAAGGGCCAUUCAAAGCAAUUUUACUGCGAUAAAAUUAAAAAUCAACAGUGGCAACAUGUCACCGUAAUCACCCCCUGGCUUGAGCCAAGCGAAUACCCGAAAAUAAUCGCUUCUGCAGACCUCGGGGUAAGUCUGCACACAAGUUCCAGCGGCCUUGACUUACCCAUGAAGGUGGUGGACAUGUUCGGAUGCUGUUUACCAGUUCUAGCCCACGAUUUUAAAUGCUUGAACGAGCUGGCUGUCCAUGGGGAGAACAGCUAUAGCUUCAGUACAGCUGAGGAGCUAUCUGAACAGCUGUUAAGCUGGUUCAGGCAGUUCCCCAAUAAUCAGGAGCAAAAACUGAUAGAGACCUUAAACUACUCCUGGCUCCUCCUCAACUCACUCUCGAAAAUGAUCGAAGCAACCCUCUCGGCCUCCUCCAUCUUCCUCUCCUUCAUAUAAGGUUUGUAUAUCCCCCUGUAGCCAAUAAACAAGCUCGCAGUCAACCCUACUAUCCCUAAUAUGAGGUAUGUAGGAUUUCCGGACUUCUGGACGCCUCCGUAGAGCUUAUAGGCCCCCUUUUCCAGCAUUUUCUCGUACGUCCACCUGGUUUUCAGCUGAGAAAUCCGCCUUUUUCGCCCCCUCGAAGAUCGGUUUCCAGAUGUAGAUGCCCCCAAGGACUCCCAGGACAGUCACUAAACCGAUUUCGACCCCGUUUAAGUUGCCGAAACGCCUUAUUCUCAUAGUUUUUAUUGGGUUUUGGUGGUUAUGUCAUGUUUGUUUACGUUCUGGGGCGUGUGGUGACGUAACCUAGAAGCUCGUGCGUGCGCGGAAUUUCGUCAACAGAUGGCGGCAGGGUCUACAAGUCGCGCUCUCAAGCGGGGAAACCCCGUUAUUUUGUGGAAGGAUCCGAAAUCGAAUAAGGGGGCUUAAAUAAAUGUAAGAAAAAUCAAUAUGGCGCGUGCCUAGGAGUUGUUCAGAUGGCGUAAGUAUUAAACAAAAUGGCGGAUGCAAAAAUUUUUAGAGUAUAACCACUAUGAUAUAACAACCUAAAGGUUAAAUGUGAUUGAUGUUUUGACAACAGAUGGCGGGGGAGUCUACAACUCUACAUGUUGUAUUUAUAAACGGGGAAACCCCGUAAUUACGUAGAUCUAAGGAUCCAAAAUCGAAUAAGGAGUCUAUAAGAGGCUUAAAUAAAUGUAAGAAAAACCUUGUUUUUAUUUAGUACUUUAGGGUUAUUGGUUUUGAUUUCAAAAGAUCAAUAUGGCGCGUGCCUAGGAGUUCUUAAGAUGGCGUAAGUAUUAAACAAAAUGGCGGAUGCAAAAGCUUUAGUUCAAUUUACAGGCAUUUUUGGAGUAUAACCACUAUGUUAUAACAUAACCUAAAGGUUUGUAAAUGUGAUAUUUUGGCAACAGAUGGUGGGAGGGUCUAUAUGUUGUUUCUAAACGGGGAAACCCCGUAAUCAUGUGGGUCUAAGGAUCCAAAAUCGAAUAAGGAGGCUUGAAUAAAUGUAAGAAAAACUGUGUCCUUAUUCAGUAUUUUAGGGUUAUUUUUGAAAAAAUGGUCUUGACUUCAAAAAAUCAAUAUGGCGGAUGCCUGGGAGUUGUUAAGAUGGCGUAAGCAUUAAACAAAAUGGCGGAUGUAAAAGCUUUAGUUCAAUUUACAGGCAUUUUUAGAGUAUAACCACUAUGGUAUAACAUGACCUAAAGGUUUGUAAAUGUCAUAUUUUAAAAACUGGGUUUUUGUUUUUGUAAUUUGGGGUUAUUCUUAAAAAAAUGGUUUUGACUUCAAAAAGUUAAUAUGGCGAACGCCUGGGAGUUGUUAAGAUGGCGUAAGUAUUAAACAAAAUGGCGGAUGCAAAAGCUUUAGUUCAAUUUACAGGCAUUUUUAGAGUAUAACCACUAUGUUAUAACAUAACCUAAAGGUUUGUAAAUGUGAUUUUUUGGCAACAGAUGGCGGGAGGGUCUUCUAAACGGGGAAACCCCGUAAUUAUGUGGGUCUAAGGAUUCAAAAUCGAAUAAGGAGGCUUAAAUAAAUGCAAGAAAGACUGUUCCUAUUAGUAAUUUAUGGUUAUUCUUGAAAAAAUGGUUUGGACCUCAA